GGAUGUGAGGGCGAUCUGGCUGCGACAUCUGUCACCCCAUUGAUCGCCAGGGUUGAUUCGGCUGAUCUGGCUGGCUAGGCGGGUGUCCCCUUCCUCCCUCACCGCUCCAUGUGCGUCCCUCCCGAAGCUGCGCGCUCGGUCGAAGAGGACGACCAUCCCCGCUAGAGGAGGACCGGUCUUCGGUCAAGGGUAUACGAGUAGCUGCGCUCCCCUGCUAGAACCUCCAAACAAGCUCUCAAGGUCCAUUUGUAGGAGAACGUAGGGUAGUCAAGCUUCCAAGACUCCAGACACAUCCAAAUGAGGCGCUGCAUGUGGCAGUCUGCCUUUGUUU
rnacentral:snRNA from 13 species